rnacentral:lncRNA from 1 species
GACUGUGUGGCAGGUCAUUUGCAAGGAGAAAAGCCGUCUGCCUCUUAAUUUGUGGCUCAAGUUUCAGAAUUUUUUUCCUGAGGGACUUUAGAAAUUACUUCAGGCUUGCCACCUAACCUUAAACCACCCCCUUGGAGACUGGCUAAGUGUUAUUUGUGUUUUCUGUUUAGUUCUUAUCACCAUCGAUACUUGGUUAUGACUGGUUGUGUACAUUGGUUAGCCCAGCAAGUAUUACUUCUCCAGCUUAACAGAUGUGGAAACUUAAGCCCAGAGACAUGAGUUGACACCCCACCCCCAAAGCUAGAGUCUAAAACCCUUUCUUUCGCUCCUCAUCUCCCACAGGAUAAAAUGCAAAUUAAUCAGACUAGUGGUGAGGCCCUCCGUGGUGUGACUAACCUGCAUCCCGACGUUUUCACCCUACUUUGAUCCAGAAAGCACCUUUCCGCCCCAUCUCUUCUCCUUUCCUUAAAUACCCCUUACAACUUCCUGUACCAUUCUUCCCUGUUCAGCUUCUUCUUGGUUUCUUCGUACAUUCUGGAUCCACCCCUUUCAUGCAUAUUCCAGACCACAUUUCCACUGGAGCAGUUGAAAUGAGAGAGAUGGGAAUGGGACUCACCCGAACCAGAGGAAUUUUUAUUACAGACCCAUUAACAGAGGUGUCAAAGUCACAGGAACAAGGAUGUGCACCUCAGAAACACAGAGAAAGACCUUAAAUGCUCUGGGGGAUACGGACUGA